CGAACGCUGGCGGCGUGCCUAAUACAUGCAAGUAGAACGCACAGUUUAUACCGUAGCUUGCUACACCAUAGACUGUGAGUUGCGAACGGGUGAGUAACGCGUAGGUAACCUGCCUGGUAGCGGGGGAUAACUAUUGGAAACGAUAGCUAAUACCGCAUAAUAUUAAUUAUUGCAUGAUAAUUAAUUGAAAGGUGCAAUUGCACCACUACCAGAUGGACCUGCGUUGUAUUAGCUAGUAGGUGAGGUAACGGCUCACCUAGGCGACGAUACAUAGCCGACCUGAGAGGGUGAUCGGCCACACUGGGACUGAGACACGGCCCAGACUCCUACGGGAGGCAGCAGUAGGGAAUCUUCGGCAAUAGACGAAAGUCUGACCGAGCAACGCCGCGUGAGUGAAGAAGGUUUUCGGAUCGUAAAGCUCUGUUGUAAGAGAAGAACGGGUGUGAGAGUGGAAAGUUCACACUGUGACGGUAUCUUACCAGAAAGGGACGGCUAACUACGUG
rnacentral:rRNA from 1 species